AAAAAAUAUAGAUUAGAAACCAAAGGUUGGAGAGAAUGAGAAGGAGAGGAAGGAGAUAAAUUGGAGCUAGGGUUCUUGAGAGGAAGGCUUAUUGAGAAAAACUCAAUAGAGGCUUGAUAGAAUUGAGGAACUUUUCUUUCCUGACCAUCGAUGGCGGUUAUUCGUACUGGAUAACGAAAACAGAACGAGUAAUGAUCCCUGAGAGCAGAUGGGUAUAUGAUCCCCAUAGGAAUAUUUGUUCCUGACCAUCGAUGGAGGAUGUCUGUGCCGAGAAACGAUAGGUGGAUAUUUCAUAAAUGGAGGAAUUGGAAGAAGUUAGUUAACUUGUGGACUGUUUUGUUUCUUGUCGUUGUUUGAAAUGUAAUCACAUCUAAAUAUUAUGUUGAGGAUGUUGUUAGUGGAUUCAUUUUGUUUUAUAUUAAAUUCAUGUUGUUGUGUAUGAUGUAACAAAUAUAUAUAACAA